rnacentral:rRNA from 1 species
GAUGAACGCUGGCGGCGUGCUUAACACAUGCAAGUCGAGCGAGUGAGUUCUUCGGAACGAUCUAGCGGCGGACGGGUGAGUAACACGUGGGCAACCUGCCUCAUAGAGGGGAAUAGCCUCCCGAAAGGGAGAUUAAUACCGCAUAAAAUUAUCGAGUGGCAUCACAUGAUAAUCAAAGGAGUAAUCCGCUAUGAGAUGGGCCCGCGGCGCAUUAGCUAGUUGGUGAGGUAACGGCUCACCAAGGCGACGAUGCGUAGCCGACCUGAGAGGGUGAUCGGCCACAUUGGGCCUGGGACACGGCCCGGACUCCGACGGGAGGCAGCAGUGGGGAAUAUUGCACAAUGGGGGAAACCCUGAUGCAGCAACGCCGCGUGAGUGAUGAAGGUCUUCGGAUUGUAAAGCUCUGUCUUUGGGGACGAUAAUGACGGUACCCAAGGAGGAAGCCACGGCUAACUACGUGCCAGCCGCCGCAGUAA